GUGUGAUAGCAUAAUUAUAAUUUUUUUUAUUUUUAAUAUAUAUUUUUUAUUUUUGCGCCUUGGCUAUCUCGGGCGCGCGCCUGCGCCUUGCGCCUUGCGCCUUGCGCCUUGGCUCCAAGACACCUUGGCGCCUCGGUGCGCCUUGAGCCUUUGAUAACUAUGAAAAGGAAGAAAGAAUGCAGGAAAAUAAGUGCUGCAGAUAGAUAAAAAAUGGCAUAACUGUGAG
rnacentral:misc_RNA from 1 species